rnacentral:misc_RNA from 1 species
UAUAUAUAUAUAUAUAUAUAUAUCAAACUCAUUUAACAAGUUCCAAUCUUUUCCCUGUUCAAGUGUAGCACAGCACCAGAAACUAAACCCAUCAGUAUUCUUUUCAAUGAAUAGUUAAAAACCCUUAAGCGGCUAAACUUAAUGAAGCUUCCAAAUUCAUAUGGUAAUUAUCCAAGCGUAAUUUUUCCCUGUAUAAAUAAAGUUACCCACCAGCAUAUAUUUAAACUAAAUUCAACUAAAUAAGCUUCGAUUUCAAUCUAAUUAAAAUUGCUAUACAGAUAAUUUUCCAAUCAUUAUGUUCAGUUUAAAACCAUGCAAGCAUCCCUAUUCAAUUUUUACUCAUAUAUAUACACUUUUACAGUAACAUACUCAUAAGAAGUAAGAACAUAAAUGCAUAUGAAGUAACUCUUCCCUUAUGCAAUAUCCAGAUAUGAACAGAGGCAACCGCAUGAUUGAAGAAUUCUAUAGUACGUGGAGAUGAUGAUUAAAAAAGCAUAGAAAAGGCGGGAAAGAUAAAAUAGUACUGGUGCCCUGUUGACAGCUCCAAC